rnacentral:rRNA from 1 species
UGAUUAAAUUAGUAAGAGCGUACGGUGGAUGUCUUGGCAUAUAGAGCAGAAGAAGGACGCAGAUAACGGCGAAACGCCUCGGGGAGUCGUACACAGGCAACGAUCCGGGGGUAUCCGAAUGGGGAAACCCGAUAAAGUUGAAAAGCUUUAUCAUCCUUAAGCCAAUACAUAACUUAAGAGAAGGCAACCCAGGGAAUUGAAACAUCUUAGUACCUGGAGGAGAAGAAAAUAACAAUGAUUCCGAGAGUAGUGGCGAGCGAAAUCGGAGCAGCCCAAACCAGCAACGAGCUGGGGUAGUAGGACCACAGAAAGUGAUUGAAAAGAGAUAGUCGAAUGGCAUUGAAAGGUCAGCCGCAGAAGGUGCAAGCCCUGUAGGCGAAAUCUCGAUUCACGCGAGUGGCAUCCUGAGUACGUCGGAGCACGUGAAACUCUGACGGAAUCAACCGGGACCAUCCGGUAAGGCUAAAUACUCCUAUAUGACCGAUAGUGAACCAGUACCAUGAGGGAAAGAUGAAAAGAACCGCGGGAGCGGAGUGAAAUAGAUCCUGAAACCGUAUGCUUACAAAAAGUCAGAGCACAUUAAGGUGUGAUGGCGUGCCUUUUGUAGAAUGAACCGGCGAGUUAUCUUUACAUGCGAGGUUAAGCAGACAAUGCGGAGCCGUAGCGAAAGCGAAUCUUAAUAGGGUGAGUAGUAUGUAGAGAUAGACCCGAAGCCGUAGUGAUCUAGUCAUGAGCAGGUUGAAGGCUGGGUGAAUCCAGCUGGAGGACCGAACCGACCCCCGUUGAAAAGUUGGCGGAUGACUUGUGAUUAGCGGAGAAAUUCCAAUCGAACACGGCGAUAGCUGGUUCUCCCCGAAAUAGCUUUAGGGCUAGCGUUGAACGGAUCUACCCGGAGGUAGAGCACUGAAAUCAUGCGGGCGGCAUCUCGCCGUACCAAAUGAUAUCAAACUCCGAAUGCCGGGCAAGAAUAUUCAGCAGUCAGACUGUGGGUGAUAAGGUCCAUGGUCAAAAGGGAAACAGCCCAGAUCAUCAGAUAAGGUCCCAAAAUUUACGCUAAGUGGAAAAGGAUGUGGAGACGCGCAAACAGCUAGGAGGUUGGCUCAGAAGCAGCCAUCCUUCAAAGAGUGCGUAACAGCUCACUAGUCGAGUAUCUCUGCGCCGAAAAUUAACCGGGGCUAAGCGUAAUACCGAAUCUAUGGAUUUAUACUUAGGUAUAAGUGGUAGGGGAGCGUUCCAUACAGCAUUGAAGGUAUACCGUAAGGAGUGCUGGAGCGUAUGGAAGUGAGAAUGCCGGUGUGAGUAGCGAGAUGUGGGUGAGAAUCCCACACACCGAACAACCAAGGUUUCCAGGGGAAGGUUCGUCCGCCCUGGGUAAGUCGGGACCUAAGGCCAGGCCGAAAGGCGUAGUCGAUGGACAGCAGGUUGAUAUUCCUGCACCCGCGAGUAAAGUGAUGGAGUGACAGAUAGGGUUAGCCCUAGUCCUUAAUGGAUUGGGCAAGGCAAGCAGGAGAGUGGCGUAGGCAAAUCCGCGCCGGAUACUCAAAGGCUUGACUCAAGCGAACGCGCGAGCAAGUAGUGAAGAGGGCGAUACCAGGUCUCAAGAAAAGCUUCUAGCGAUAAUUUACUAGCGGCCCGUACCAAAACCGACACAGGUGGUUGAGGCGAGUAGCCUAAGGUGAGCGAGAGAACUGUUGCCAAGGAACUCGGCAAAUUGACCCCGUACGUUAGCAAUAAGGGGUGCUCGAAAGAGCCGCAGUGAAUAGGCCCUAGCAACUGUUUAACUAAAACAUAGCUCUCUGCGAAGUCGCAAGACGAAGUAUAGGGGGUGACACCUGCCCGGUGCUGGAAGGUCAAGGGGAUUUGUCAGACGCAAGUCGAAGCAUUGAACCGAAGCCCCAGUGAACGGCGGCCGUAACUAUAACGGUCCUAAGGUAGCGAAAUUCCUUGUCAGGUAAGUUCUGACCCG